rnacentral:rRNA from 1 species
UACGUAGGUGGCGAGCGUUAUCCGGAAUGAUUGGGCGUAAAGGGUGCGUAGGCGGACUUUUAAGCGAGAUGUGAAAUACUCGGGCUCAACUUGAGUGCUGCAUUUCAAACUGGAAGUCUAGAGUGCAGGAGAGGAGAAUGGAAUUCCUAGUGUAGCGGUGAAAUGCGUAGAGAUUAGGAAGAACACCAGUGGCGAAGGCGAUUCUCUGGACUGUAACUGACGCUGAGGCUCGAAAGCGUGGGGAGCAAACAGG